UACAGGGGGGGCAAGCGUUGUUCGGAAUUACUGGGCGUAAAGGGUUCGUAGGUGGCCACCUAAGUCAGACGUGAAAUCCCUCAGCUUAACUGGGGAACUGCGUCUGAUACUGGGUGGCUUGAGUGCAGGAGAGGAAUGCGGAAUUCCAGGUGUAGCGGUGAAAUGCGUAGAUAUCUGGAGGAACACCGGUGGCGAAGGCGGCAUUCUGGACUGUAACUGACACUGAGGAACGAAAGCCAGGGGAGCAAACGGGG
rnacentral:rRNA from 1 species